rnacentral:lncRNA from 1 species
CUGCCUUUGAAUGAUUUAAGAUAUUUGGACAAGAGGAAAAAUAACCCUUCCUUCCCAUAAAUCCAGAGUGAAAACAAAGAGAAUGCAUAAUCCACCUGCCUUGAUUCAGGACCAUGUAAAUUACAUCAGCUGCAGUCAUAGAUUUUGUCAGCCUCCAAGAAAUCAUCCCCAUAGGACCAAAAUCCAGACACGUGGGAAGAUUACCUUUCUCUGAUGUCUUGGGAUUGAACUGAGCUAUGUGGCUAGUUACAGGCCAAUAGGCUGUUAGCAGAUGUGACAUCUAACACAACUAGGCUGCAGUUUGAAAUAAAUACCAGUGCACAGCCUCCAGAAUUCCUCCCCUGCUAAGGUGACUGAGAAGACCUCAGCUGAGAUGGUGGGAAAAAAAAAUAUUCAAGCAGCUUGGAUAACGAAGUUCCUAAAUGGAAGAACAUUGUCCCAGAGAGUCACUUGAACCCAG